AAUAGAUACCCGGGUAGUCCACGCCGUAAACGAUGAGUGCUAAGUGUUAGGGGGUUUCCGCCCCUUAGUGCUGCAGCUAACGCAUUAAGCACUCCGCCUGGGGAGUACGGUCGCAAGACUGAAACUCAAAGGAAUUGACGGGGGCCCGCACAAGCGGUGGAGCAUGUGGUUUAAUUCGAAGCAACGCGAAGAACCUUACCAGGUCUUGACAUCCCAUUGACCACUAUGGAGACAUAGUUUUCCCUUCGGGGACAACGGUGACAGGUGGUGCAUGGUUGUCGUCAGCUCGUGUCGUGAGAUGUUGGGUUAAGUCCCGCAACGAGCGCAACCCUUGUUCUUAGUUGCCAUCAUUUAGUUGGGCACUCUAAGGAGACUGCCGGUGACAAACCGGAGGAAGGUGGGGAUGACGUCAAAUCAUCAUGCCCCUUAUGACCUGGGCUACACACGUGCUACAAUGGACGGUACAAACGGUUGCCAACCCGGCAGGGGGGAGCUAAAUCCGGAUAAAACCGUUCUCAGUUCGGAUUGUAGGCUGCAACUCGCCUACAUGAAGCC
rnacentral:rRNA from 1 species